rnacentral:rRNA from 1 species
AGAGUUUGAUCAUGGCUCAGAAUCAACGCUGGCGGCGCGCUUAACACAUGCAAGUCGCACGAGAAAGUGGAGCAAUCCAUGAGUACAGUGGCGUACGGGUGAGUAACACGUGGAUCAUCUACCUCUUGGUGGGGAAUAACCCUGGGAAACCGGGGCUAAUACCGCAUAAGCCUGCAAAGGGAAAGCAGCAAUGCGCCGAGAGAGGAGUCCGCGGCCGAUUAGCUGGUUGGUAGGGUAAUGGCCUACCAAGGCAAUGAUCGGUAGCCGGCCUGAGAGGGCACACGGCCACACUGGCACUGAAAACACGGGGCCAGACUCCUACGGGAGGCAGCAGUGGGGAAUCUUGCACAAUGGGGGAAACCCUGAUGCAGCGACGCCGCGUGAGCGAUGAAGCCCUUCGGGGUGUAAAGCUCUUUCGGCAGGAACGAUAAUGACGGUACCUGCAGAAGAAGCUGCGGCUAACUACGUGCCAGCAGCCGCGGUAAUACGUAGGCAGCAAGCGUUGUUCGGAAUUACUGGGCGUAAAGAGUGUGUAGGCGGUUCUCUAAGUUCCGUGUGAAAUCUCCCGGCUUAACUGGGAGGGUGCGCGGAAGACUGGAGGGCUGGAGUAUGGGAGAGGAAAGCGGAAUUCCUGGUGUAGCGGUGAAAUGCGUAGAUAUCAGGAGGAACNNCCUGCGGUGUAGACAGCUUUCUGGACCAUCACUGACGCUGAGACACGAAAGCGUGGGUAGCAAACAGGAUUAGAUACCCUAGUAGUCC